GAUGAACGCUGGCGGCGUGCCUAAUACAUGCAAGUCGAGCGAACGGACGAGAAGCUUGCUUCUCUGAUGUUAGAGGCGGACGGGAGAGAAACAAGUGGAUAACCUACCUAUAAGACAGGGAUAAAUUCGGGAAACAGGAGCUAAUACCGGAUGAUAUUUUGAACCGCAUGGUUCAAAAGAGAAAGACGGUCUUGCUGUCACUUAUAGAUGGAUCCGCGCUGCAUUAGCUAGUUGGUAAGGUAACGGCUUACCAAGGCAACGAUGCAUAGCCGACCUGAGAGGGUGAUCAGCCACACUGGAACUGAGACACGGUCCAGACUCCUACGGGAGGCAGCAGUAGGGAAUCUUCCGCAAUGGGCGAAAGCCUGACGGAGCAACGCCGCGUGAGUGAUGAAGGUCUUCGGAUCGUAAAACUCUGUUAGUAGGGAAGAACCUAUGUGUAAGUAACUGUGCACAUCUUGACGGUACCUAAUCAGAAAGCCCCGGCUAACUACGUG
rnacentral:rRNA from 1 species